ACAUUUUGGGUCAGAUUUAGAAUGCACCUUUAAAAUCAUCUGUUCUAUUUAACUAUUUAACAACAAAAGUAAACAAUGAAAAUUCCUCAUGGAAAGUAACUCUGAGUCUAGGAAUUAAUAAUUAUAUAAUUAAUAACUACUGCCCAAGUGCAUCAUAUCAGCAGACACAAAGCAGCUGUUUUAUCAACUAAAGUUAGUCAGAUUUUAAAUGGUCAUCAGUUGAAUAGGUUAAUGAAUCCUGACCUGAGAGUCUCCAGUUCCAGACAGCUGAUACC